rnacentral:rRNA from 1 species
GACAGAGGGUGCAAACGUUGCUCGGAAUCACUGGGCGUAAAGGGCGCGUAGGCGGGUGUGCAAGUCUGUGGUGAAAAGCCUCCAGCUUAACUGGAGAAGUGCCAUGGAUACUGCACAUCUUGAGGAGGGUAGGGGCAUCUGGAACGGUCGGUGGAGCGGUGAAAUGCGUUGAUAUCGACCGGAACUCCGGUGGCGAAGGCGAGGUGCUGGACCCUUUCUGACGCUGAGGCGCGAAAGCCAGGGGAGCAAACGGG